AGGAUGUUUAUCGUAGAUGGUAAAAUGUUGUAUCAAUAUAAUUAUGAUAUUGAAUACACUAACAUAACCACACAUAUAUGGCUUAUAACUGAAGUCAGGAAAGAAGGUUUGAAUGUAUCAACAUAAUGCAUUGUUAUAAAACUACUAGUAUAGAAGAUUUACACUAAGGAUGGAAAUACGGAGAAUCAUGAAUAUUAUGAAAAGUUGAACUAACGCAGCACAGUAUAGUGUAGUGACUUGUUUCUAACAGAACGAUCAUAUUUACUAGCCACCAAUCUUCGCUAAACAACAUUUACG